AACGAACGCUGGCGGCAGGCUUAACACAUGCAAGUCGAGCGCCCCGCAAGGGGAGCGGCAGACGGGUGAGUAACGCGUGGGAAUCUACCCAUUUCUACGGAAUAACGCAUGGAAACGUGUGCUAAUACCGUAUACGUCCUUCGGGAGAAAGAUUUAUCGGAGAUGGAUGAGCCCGCGUUGGAUUAGCUAGUUGGUGGUGUAAAGGCCUACCAAGGCGACGAUCCAUAGCUGGUCUGAGAGGAUGAUCAGCCACACUGGGACUGAGACACGGCCCAGACUCCUACGGGGGGCAGCAGUGGGGAAUAUUGGACAAUAGGCGCAAGCCUGAUCCAGCCAUGCCGCGUGAGUGAUGAAGGCCCUAGGGUUGUAAAGCUCUUUCACCGGUGAAGAUAAUGACGGUAACCGGAGAAGAAGCCCCGGCUAACUUCGUGCCAGCAGCCGCCGCCGUAA
rnacentral:rRNA from 1 species